rnacentral:lncRNA from 1 species
UGGUUAUCAAAUAUUAUGUUCAUCUUUUUUUUUCCUUUUUUACUUUCCUAAAAAUCCCUCCACCCUCUUGCCGUUUUUUGCUCUCUUUCACCCUUCAUCUUCUUGAUUUUUCUUUUCCCACUCUGCCUCAUGUUGUUCCACGUUUGUCUAUAACCGUUCGGUAAGUUUUAGAUAAAUGAUUUGUCUCUGUUUGUUAACUUUUUUCUGAAGUGUUUUUUAAGCCAAUUAGGGGAGGAUUCAAGGGCUCG